CACGUAGGGUGCGAGCGUUGUCCGGAAUUAUUGGGCGUAAAGAGCUCGUAGGCGGUGUGUCGCGUCGGCCGUGAAAACCUGCAGCUUAACUGUGGGCUUGCGGUCGAUACGGGCAUCACUGGAGUUCGGCAGGGGAGACUGGAAUUCCUGGUGUAGCGGUGAAAUGCGCAGAUAUCAGGAGGAACACCAAUAGCGAAGGCAGCUCGCUGGGACGGUAUUGACGCUGAGGUGCGAAAGCGUGGGGAGCGAACAGG
rnacentral:rRNA from 1 species